GAGCGGAUGACGUCUUUCGGAUUGGGGACGAGCGGGUACUGUUGUGGCUGAGGUGAGUCUCGCCUUGGUAGGGCUCUUCCCAGUAACGGCCUCCUUGGUGCGGUGUGUGAGGCAAAUGUGUCCCGUUGAGUCCCUCACGAAGAGGAGCAGGCCGAGGCGUGGAGCAGAGACUUCCCUGGAGCCCCGCGGGCAGAAAAGGGUCGCGGCUGAAGCUGCAAAAAAAACCAACACCGAAAACCAACAAGCAUCUUUAUGUCCAGAAAACUGCAACGACUUCGUGAUCAUGACUUAAAUCCCUGUUUAGCGGAAACAGAUGCUUCUAGAAAAUGUAUGGAUGACAGUAACUACAAUAAAGAUGCAUGCACCAUCUAUUUCUUAAGAUACAAAAAUUGCAGAAAGUUUUGGAAUGGGAUCUUGAUGCAAAGAAGAAAAGAUGGAAUUAAGCCAAAUAUGCCUACAGCAGAAGAGAGAGACAGGAUUCUGGCAUCAAUGGAAAGAGUACCAUACUAAUAAUUCAGUGUUGCUGUUAAAAGAUAAACACUGGUUUCAUUUUAAGCAAGAGAUUUGGAGCUGGUGUUGAAACAACCAUUAUGUGCUGAAACAAGAAGCUCCACUUCUAUUAUAAUGAGUCUUGCCUGUUUCUCACAGUGCAUCUGUCUGCCUGUCUAUAUUCAGAGAGAAUUAUGCCUGGGUUUGUGUGGGGAAAAAUUGCUCCAUCAAAUUUGAGGGAAACCAUUUAUGUACUGAAGCAGUGUCUGGUGUCAGUUGUGGAGUGGACCAUAGAAUCAUAAAGUUGGAAGAGACCACGGACCAUCCAGGCCAACCUGCUGUCAUGCAAGUACAAUCAAAGCAUCCACUACAGAUGGACAGUCUGUUUAAAAGCCUCCAAAGAAAGAGCCUCCCCCACUCUCUGAGGUAGUGAGCUCCACUGCGGUCAGGAUGAGGGCAAACAAAGUGAAGCUUAAUGCAGAUAAUACAGAAGUGUUCAUGGUCAGCUGAAAGAAAAUCUGUUAUUCAGCUUGCGCUAGAUGGUUUACACUCCUCCUGCAGAUGCAGGUUCAUUGCCAGAGUUUUCCUGUAUUUGAAAGCUCACUCUUUAUUAUCAGAUGAAGGAGGUGAGACAGAUCCAAUACCCAGUGUGAGAGAAGGAGUCUGUUGUCUGGUGGAAAGUGUUCUGAGUCUGUGCCCUCUGCCUCUUAGUUCAGAUUCAUUUAGAGUCCCUUGAUUCACUGGAAUCCAGGGCUUAGCUGCGUUGGCAGCGUAGCAAAAUACAAUAAAAUCCACAAAAUAAAUGAUGUCUUUACUGGGCCAACUAAACGGCAGAAAAUACACCAGCUUUCGAAGUUUCACUGGCUUCAUACUUGGGCAAAGAUGUCAAAAAUAAUACAGAAGAAAAGUGAUGAAUAUUAGAGUCACAGGCCUACAUUUUUCCUAAAAAUUGGUUCAAUGUCUGUCCUGGCUCUUUAAAGGAGAGCAACAAGAAGAUGCAAGGCAUAUGAGCUUGUUUUCCCUUGUAUCUUGCAUUAGAGAUAAAAAAAAGACCAUGAAUAGAGUAACUACUUAGCUAAGAUGUAGAUACAUUGAGCAUUACCUACAAGAUCAUGUGUUUGUAGCUGGGCAGUAUGUUUUUGGUGCAGCAGUAGUGUAGGCUUUAGAGUCACUCUCUUCAUGGAGACAGGUGUUACAAUUGUUGCUGCUGGGCUGUUCUCCAUCUGCUUCAUGGCUCUUUGGUAUGGGAUGGAGAUGUUGAUAUGAAGUUUCGGCACUUCCUGGAGCUUACAGUCCUUUCGCUGUGAUGGUGGCUGCUUCUCAUCCUGCUGGCUGGUCACUUGGCAAGCAUCGCAUGUGAGGGAAACUAUUCUAUUCUUGGUUCUUUUCCACUGCAGCAUGUUUUUUCUGCAGUGGUUUGACACACUUUAUUCCCUAAUUAUUACCUCACUUUUCCUAUAGCAGGAAAAGUUAUUUCUUCAGGUCAAUUUUGGUUUUUUGGUGCACUGGAUUUCUGAGAAAAAAAAUCCCAGAUCCAUGUUGUUUUUGCCAAUGCAUGUGUGACUUACACAGAAACAACUGUCAUAUGUCAUCCCUUAUGGUAUGGUGCUGUCUAUUGUACAAAUGUGUUCUGUGUUUAUCCAAAGACUGCACUAACCUUACAGCUUCCCCUUCCCCCACCUUAUUCCACCUCUGUAUAACAUAUACAGUAUUGGUAACAGAAAUGUGUUUCUAAAAUAAAAGUUGCUGCCUUCUUUUUA